rnacentral:rRNA from 1 species
AUUGAACGCUGGCGGCAGGCCUAACACAUGCAAGUCGAGCGAGCGGCGGACGGGUGCGUACUGUCUGGGAAACUGCCUGUUAGAGGGGGAUAAGUCCUGGAAAAGGUAGCUAAUACCGCAUACCAUCAGAUGUGCCCAGAUGGGAUUAGCUAGUAGGUGGGGUAACGGCUCACCUAGGCGACGAUCCCUAGCUGGCCUGAGAGGAUGACCAGCCACACUGGGACUGAGACACGGUCCAGACUCCUACGGUAGGCAGCAGUGGGGAAUAUUGCACAAUGGGCGAAAGCCUGAUGCAGCCAUGCCGCGUGUGUGAAGAAGGCCUGCGGGUUGUAAAGCACUGUCGGCAGGGAGGCGUUACCCGCAGAAGAAGCACCGGCUAACUCCGUGCCAGCAGCCGCGGUAAUAC